rnacentral:lncRNA from 1 species
AUGUGCCAAAGGAGGUGUGUGCUCAGAGAGCCUGGCAUGAGGUGGGGCAGGACGGGAGCAGGAAAGGAGGUUUCUGUGUGCAGGAACGGGGGCAGGAUCUGCGUGGUGAGCGGCUCCCUGAGCCCACGUGGGCUGGGGCUUGAGGCAGAAGAGGAAAAAGGGGAGACCUCAGUGGCUGCACCUGGGCAGGUCACCUUGGCUGCUUUGUGGCUGGCAGGGAGAAAUUCACUCUUGUGGGAUGCUGCUGGCUUGGGCAGAUCUUUAGAAGAAGAGCUGCUACCCCUAGGAGCAGCUGCUCUCCUCCACCAACUACAAACACCAGGGGAUGGGGAAGGCGAUGUGAAGUGAUCUGCCCUCAACCAGCCCACCCAGCCCUUCAGCACAGGAGUCCUCCCUCCAGCUUAGGCAGCGCCAGCAGAUGAGGAAAGUAUCGGGAGAUACCUACACGAGCAGCUUGUUUGGGAAGGA